ACUCAAAUGAAUUGACGGGGGCCCGCACAAGCGGAGGAGCAUGUGGUUUAAUUCGAUGAUACGCGAGGAACCUUACCUGGGCUUGAAAGUUAGUGACCGCUCCUGAAAGGGAGCCUUCCGCAAGGACACGAAACUAGGUGCUGCAUGGCUGUCGUCAGCUCGUGCCGUGAGGUGUUGGGUUAAGUCCCGUAACGAGCGCAACCCCUAUCAUUAGUUGCCAUCAGGUAAAGCUGGGGACUCUAAUGAGACUGCCCGCGCAAGCGGUGAGGAAGGUGGGGAUGACGUCAAGUCAUCACGGCCCUUACGUCCAGGGCUACACACGUGCUACAAUGGUAGAUACAGCAGGUUGCCACAUGGUAACAUGGAGCUAAUCCCAAAAGUCUAUCUCAGUUCGGAUUGAGGUCUGCAACUCGACCUCAUGAAGCUGGAUUCGCUAGUAAUCGGAAAUCAGCAAUGUUCCGGUGAAUACGUUCCCGGGCCUUGUACACACCGCCCGU
rnacentral:rRNA from 1 species